GUCACCGCCGGACGGAACAGGUCACGAGGGUUGGGGAACCCGAUGACCGGCCUGGACCGAGACGGCCACGAGUACUAGGGAGCUCGGGGCAGUCGCUUCGGUGAAGGAG
rnacentral:sRNA from 23 species